UCCUGCGCUCCUUUAGAUAAAGUGGUGUUGUGGUGCCUCCCAGCGCUUGGAAGUUUAAGUGUUCCUGGAGGGUAUUUUUACAGGAGGUCGGAACUGAAUUCCAGACACUAUCCCGGACUGUCAUCCACUCCUUUCUACGAAGCCAGGCGGAAGGUCCACUGUGCACCCAAAGCCGUGCCAAGAAGUAGAAAACAAUACUGGUCUAAGCCCUCAAGUUUUCGUCCAACGAGGGAUCAAGAAAGUAUUACUGGAAUUAGCACAGCGACCAUCAGCUGCUUCAGACCUGACCAUGCCUGUACCUAUUUCUUCCCUCAUGCUCAGCUGAGUGUCCCAGACCAGGGCAGACGCUUUGCUGGCCACGGAUGACCACAAUGAUGAAAGAGAGUGAACAGGAGCUACUGUCUAAGCAGCUUUGUUACGAAGCUACAAAUCUAAGAUAAAAAUCUGAAGACAGUCUGUGGAAUAUUACUUUGUAGAAGACAAGAAACUUAGUAGGAAAAUCAUGAACAAACAUGUACUUUGCGAUGAGUUUUGGACUGUAAGUCAAAGAAUGUCUGUUUUUGUUAUUUUUUUAACAUAAACAGGCAUUUGCCUUAUUUAAUUAUGACCAAGGAAAAUCUUCCUCUAAGAAAUCCAGAUGCAAGAGACUGUCCUUUUGGACCCAAGACAAUGUCGCACUUUUGAUAUCAGAGGUAGAUGGGUGUUCCUGGGAUAUUUAAAUCAGGUUAGAGAAAAUGUCUGGUGGUGCUCAAGUGUAGACACAGGUUUGACAGAAGAACACAGCUUUACCCUACAACGCUCAACAUGCCUGAGGCUAGUGUUCAUGUCGGUCUAUGUGCUACCUCUACGUAUGCCCCGUGAAUGCGGUUGAUUUUUAACCUGAGUUACUACCUCUAACAUUACUUUAAAAAAAUUUUUUUUAACAUUUAUUUAUUAUUGAGAGACAGAGAGAGACAGAGCAUGAGCAGGGGAGGGGCCGAGAGACGGGGAGACACAGAAUCUGAAGCAGGCUCCAGGCUGGGAGCUGUCAGCACAGAGCCCGACGCGGGGCUCAAAUUCACAAACCACGAGAUCGUGACCUGAGCCGAAGUUGGAGGCUUAACCGACAGAGCCACCCAGGUGCCCCUAACAUUACUUUAACUUAUUUUUUUCCUAUGAAAGAACUUUGGUGGGGGAACAGGGGAAGAAGGAAGGCGAAAGGGAUACUCAGAGAAAUUUCCCCAAGAUUGAACAGGUGACGAUACAUCCUGCUUGCUUCCUUGCUGCUGCUGACACUGUGAUGUUUCAGUAAUCGGUUGGUAUAUGGAAGGGACUCAGACUGGUCCACCAUUAAAAAAAUGUUAAAAAGCCAGUUUUAUGUGAAAUUUGGGAUGGCAUCCUAAACCCAGAUUCUUUUUAGUGGCAGCUCUGUCAGUCUUCAAUCCUUUGAAUACUUUUUUUUUCUUAUCUAGACUCCGGGAUAAUACUUCCCUUUCAGUGAUGUACUACAACACAGGGAUUUAUUAUACAUUACAAAACAUUACUACAGUGUAUUAAAACCAUGUAAUAAAUACAGCACUGUUAGUAAGUGUCAAGACUGAUUUCACUCAGGCAACUAAAAUCUGGAUGUGGCACAUAAUUAGAUGACAACUUAUUACAUGCGGUAGCGUGUAGUGGUUAAGAGUCAGAUAAUCUUGGGUUUUCCGUGUCCAGUUCAGCCCCUAACUAACCUCGUGAUCCUGGGUUGUUUAACCUUGUCUUCUGGAGAACUGUGAAAAUAUAUAACUCAUGAAAUUUUGUGAGGAUCACAAGAAAUAACGUGUAUGAAGUGAUCAGGACAGUGUCUAUGCACAGUAAACUCAGUAAAUGCUAACAUUAUUAUGUGCAUAACACCAAGUAAUGGGUGAAGAUUCAAGUUCUGGGACAGCUUAUUUAAUACAACGUCUAGAUGCAUAUUUAGAACACAUCGAUAAUUAUAAUAUAACAUAGCAGAUGAGUCCUGUAAGAGGAACAGAGUACUUUGGAAAUUCAGGAGGGAGAGGUUACAUUUUGCUAGAAUCACAGGGACACGUUCUCUUCAUAGAAUAGUUAUCCCCUGGAGCCCUGAAAACCAACAAUCACACGGGACUCACCUCUCUGAGCGAGGUAGGCCUGCUGGUCAGGGUCACUUGUUCUU